CCUAACUCUGGCAAGUUGCUCUUAGAUCGCUGAGUCGCCUGGUCGGGCUAUCUUUCCCACUGUGAUUGCGGAGCGAAAUAGUGCUCUGGAUAGCUUUGGGGAGUCUCGUGGGUGUAACUGGCAAUGUGGCAAGGUCCAGGCAUUCGGGCUUCUCAUAAGCCAAUAGAGAGGCGCUUGGGCUUCUUGCCGCAUUUCUCGGAAGCACAGCGUCGGUUGGAGUAGACCUCUCAGGAUCAACGUCGGGGGCUAUAUGGACACUAUGGGCGGAUUCCGAUCUGGCGACAACAGAUGGGUUUUGAACGGCCGGGCGAGAAAUGGAGAUGGGUAUAUCAGGAGAUAGGCGG
rnacentral:sRNA from 1 species